UACGUAGGUGGCAAGCGUUGUCCGGAUUUAUUGGGUUUAAAGGGUGCGUAGGCGGCUUUGUAAGUCAGUGGUGAAAUAUGGCAGCUCAACUGUCAAGGUGCCAUCGAUACUGCGGAGCUUGAGUACAGAUGAGGUAGGCGGAAUUGACGGUGUAGCGGUGAAAUGCUUAGAUAUCGUCAAGAACACCUAUAGCGAAGGCAGCUUACUAGGCUGCAACUGACGCUGAGGCACGAAAGUGUGGGGAUCAAACAGG
rnacentral:rRNA from 1 species